GGGCCCGCACAAGCGGUGGAGCAUGUGGUUUAAUUCGAUGCAACGCGAAGAACCUUACCUGGCCUUGACAUAUAGGGAAAAACUAAAGAAAUUUAGUGUGCGUAAGCGCCCUAUACAGGUGGUGCAUGGCUGUCGUCAGCUCGUGUCGUGAGAUGUUGGGUUAAGUCCCGCAACGAGCGCAACCCUUGUCCCUAGUUGCCAGCAUUCAGUUGGGCACUCUAGGGAGACUGCCGGUGAUAAGCCGGAGGAAGGUGGGGAUGACGUCAAGUCCUCAUGGCCUUUAUGUCCAGGGCUACACACGUGUUACAAUGGGGGUGACAAAGAGUGGCCAAGCUGCGAAGCUGCGCAAAUCUCAAAAAACCGUCCUCAGUUCGGAUUGGAGUCUGCAACUCGACUCCAUGAAGGUGGAAUCGCUAGUAA
rnacentral:rRNA from 1 species